GACCUUGUGGCCCGAUGGCAAGGCGCUUGACUACGAUUGCAAAAUAGCCUGACAUUAAGAGAUUCUAGGUUCGAUCCCUAUCAAGUUCG